AAGGACCAUCUAACACGAGGGUGUAUACGUCCUGCAAUACUACGAGUAAUAUCAACUUCUUGGCCUCUGAAUAUGAGGAAGAAUAUCACAGGGAUAUUAAUAACAAUUUCACAGGCUGGGUGAACACAGCCGGCAAUGCUGAAAUUAUUAUCAUCCUCUCCCCAUCUUCCCCUCCUGGCUCUUAGGACCCCCAUCGCAGGGGGCUGAGGCACCCCCCGCGAGGCGGGGACUGAGUGCCAGCCCCUCUUCCCUAGCCCCUUCGUCAGGGCUGAGAGAAUUUUGAGCGCUAGCCGUCUCUCGAUCGCUGGCUAAUAAAGAACUCCUGAAUUAGU